GUUUUUGCCUCAAUGGGCUCUACCACAAUGGGCAGAUCAACAGUUGCCUGAAUGGGCUCUACCACAAUGGGUAGAACAUUAUUAUUUUGUCCUACCACCAUGGGCAGCCUGGUUAUAGUAUCGUUAUUUUGUGCAUCAAAAGGAUUCACAGGUGUUGUAGUUGUUUUCGCAUGCACUACACUGGCUACAGGUGAUAAUGAUAUAUUACUUGUGUCGAUCGCAGAAUCACAUAUCUGGUAAGAAAACAUGUUCGUACAACAUGAAACACUGACAAGUUUAGGUAAGUUAUCUACAGAUAAGAAUUCGACACCAGGUUCUAAGACAACAAAGCCAUCAUUCAGAGCUUGCAAGUACAUUUUGUCUCCUUGUAAUAAGACAUUACUGAAUGUUGUUUUUGACCAAUCGAUCAGUGGUAUAUUUUGGGCAGUUAAAAUUGCCGAUAAACUCAUGAAAGCACAUUGUCUGCCUCUAGAUUGAACACUAAAAAUGUCAUCGCCUUGAUGUAUAUAAGAAGAAAGAAAUAGAGCCAUACUUACCUGAAUUUUUCCCAAUAUUUUCGAUUUCUUGCAUCCGUAUGAAACGCUUUUGUAAAAAUCUUUCGAUUCUUGAAGCACAUGGAGAUGCGUGCGCAAUACAAAAUCUUGUUUCUGACCGCUCCCCUCUUUUAACAAACGUCCCUGAAGCUUAAUUAUUCCCCCCGGAUUGUGACAAACAUCUUUACAGACAGAUACAAGAUCUCGAUCUCGACAAUACAUAACUCGCGCGAAAGACUGGGUCGAGUGGACUCUGGGGAAACCACCGCGUGUCAAGAAUAGUGUGCUGCCUCGCUACGCUCGGCAGCAAUUUGCAUGACAAAAUUGCUGGAUUAUGAUUGGUUGAGAGGAGUACAAUUAUUUCAUGAAUUCAUUAAUUGUACUGCAGUACAAUUAAAAUGAUUUUCCCAAAACAAACAAAAUGGCGGAAGGGUAUCCUAAACGGAAAGGUAUUUUUCAAAUUUAGGUUGAAUGUCUGGCAGGACUGGACUUUGGUGAGAGAAUAUGAUGUUGACAUUGAGGAGUAUCCAUGCAACAUCCACUCGCCCAGGCGGCUCGUCCAAUGUUGGCAAAAUUUCCAAACAUCACUCGUACUAUUAGCCCCUACUUGUACGAGCAACAUCGCAUGAUUACUUGUUUAUUAUUAAAUAGCUGCAUGAGUUGCAUUCAUAUAACUUGACAUAGAAAAUUAAUAAUUUUAUAAUGCAUUAAUUUCUAAGGUAUUCAUCAACUUCAGAACUUCCUCGUAAGAGUCACUGUGAAACUUCUCAAGCAGGAAGAUGAGAACAUUGAUACAAUAUGCGCGCACUACCACGACACCGACUUUCAAGAAGAAUUUACAAAAAGGGUUAGUAUUUUAUU